rnacentral:rRNA from 1 species
AGAGUUUGAUCCUGGCUCAGAUUGAACGCUGGCGGCAUGCCUUACACAUGCAAGUCGAACGGCAGCACGAGAGCUUGCUCUUGGUGGCGAGUGGCGAACGGGUGAGUAAUAUAUCGGAACGUACCCUAGAGUGGGGGAUAACGUAGCGAAAGUUACGCUAAUACCGCAUACGAUCUACGGAUGAAAGUGGGGGAUCGCAAGACCUCAUGCUCAUGGAGCGGCCGAUAUCUGAUUAGCUAGUUGGUGGGGUAAAAGCUCACCAAGGCGACGAUCAGUAGCUGGUCUGAGAGGACGACCAGCCACACUGGAACUGAGACACGGUCCAGACUCCUACGGGAGGCAGCAGUGGGGAAUUUUGGACAAUGGGCGCAAGCCUGAUCCAGCAAUGCCGCGUGAGUGAAGAAGGCCUUCGGGUUGUAAAGCUCUUUUGUCAGGGAAGAAACGGUGGACUCUAAUACAGAUCACUAAUGACGGUACCUGAAGAAUAAGCACCGGCUAACUACGUGCCAGCAGCCGCGGUAAUACGUAGGGUGCAAGCGUUAAUCGGAAUUACUGGGCGUAAAGCGUGCGCAGGCGGUUGUGCAAGACAGAUGUGAAAUCCCCGGGCUCAACCUGGGAAUUGCAUUUGUGACUGCACGGCUAGAGUGUGUCAGAGGGGGGUAGAAUUCCACGUGUAGCAGUGAAAUGCGUAGAGAUGUGGAGGAAUACGGAUGGCGAAGGCAGCCCCCUGGGAUAACACUGACGCUCAUGCACGAAAGCGUGGGGAGCAAACAGGAUUAGAUACCCUGGUAGUCCACGCCCUAAACGAUGUCUACUAGUUGUCGGGUCUUAAUUGACUUGGUAACGCAGCUAACGCGUGAAGUAGACCGCCUGGGGAGUACGGUCGCAAGAUUAAAACUCAAAGGAAUUGACGGGGACCCGCACAAGCGGUGGAUGAUGUGGAUUAAUUCGAUGCAACGCGAAAAACCUUACCUACCCUUGACAUGUCUGGAAUCCUUGAGAGAUCAGGGAGUGCUCGAAAGAGAAUCAGAACACAGGUGCUGCAUGGCUGUCGUCAGCUCGUGUCGUGAGAUGUUGGGUUAAGUCCCGCAACGAGCGCAACCCUUGUCAUUAGUUGCUACGAAAGGGCACUCUAAUGAGACUGCCGGUGACAAACCGGAGGAAGGUGGGGAUGACGUCAAGUCCUCAUGGCCCUUAUGGGUAGGGCUUCACACGUCAUACAAUGGUACAUACAGAGGGCCGCCAACCCGCGAGGGGGAGCUAAUCCCAGAAAGUGUAUCGUAGUCCGGAUUGUAGUCUGCAACUCGACUACAUGAAGUUGGAAUCGCUAGUAAUCGCGGAUCAGCAUGUCGCGGUGAAUACGUUCCCGGGUCUUGUACACACCGCCCGUCACACCAUGGGAGCGGGUUUCACCAGAAGUGGGUAGCCUAACCGCAAGGAGGGCGCUCACCACGGUGGGAUUCGUGACUGGGGUGAAGUCGUAACAAGGUA